AUUAAUUAAAUGUCAAUAUCAAAAUGACAGACGUGUAAUGAGAGGAAUUAAUCUUUCUUUCUCAUUUAUUCAUGGUUGUUUGCUCAAGAUUAGUUAUUCACUUAUUCUUACAAAACGUUCUCUCUCUAAUUAAGUGUGUCUUGUGAUCUUAUAAUUACUAUACUUUGCUGCCAAAAGUGGUGUUUGCUCAAGAGCCAAGAGACAGUGAAACACUGCCAAAUACUGUCUGAUCUGUAGAGCACAAGCAAUUUCAUGACAAAGAGGCUCAGCAGAAUAUUCUUGACGUGACAGAGAACACACAUGCACUGGGAUGAGAUCAUGAGAAGAGAUUGUUAAUUAAUUAAGAAAUGUAACACUGAGAAAAAGGCCAAGAAUGAGAGUUUUCACCUGCAUUGAGACAAAGGGUCCGGGUAAGGGUAAUCCCUAGUUUGGUUCCAUUUUAAUUACAAUGUUACAAUCAAUCCCCUUGUAUUAUUUAUCUUGGCUAGGUGAAAUGUUCUAAUUUUUCAUUUUCUGAAGGUGAAAUUAAUUACGAUUACCACUCUAUUAAAUUGUAUAAUUGAUUUCCCGGCACAAGUAUAAUGAAAGUUAUCUAAAGUACUGAAGUUUUUCUGUUCCUUCAAAUGAAUUGUUGAAUUUGGCCAAGCAGUUGUUGAAUUUUUGUAAUGAAAUAAAUUGGGAUAGUGUUGAUUUA